rnacentral:rRNA from 1 species
CUUGGUCAUUUAGAGGAAGUAAAAGUCGUAACAAGGUCUCCGUUGGUGAACCAGCGGAGGGAUCAUUACCGAGUUUACAACUCCCAAACCCCUGUGAACAUACCUUACUGUUGCCUCGGCGGAUCAGCCCGCGCCCGGUAAAACGGGACGGCCCGCCAGAGGACCCCUAAACUCUGUUUUUAUUGUAACUUCUGAGUAAAACCAUAAAUAAAUCAAAACUUUCAACAACGGAUCUCUUGGUUCUGGCAUCGAUGAAGAACGCAGCAAAAUGCGAUAAGUAAUGUGAAUUGCAGAAUUCAGUGAAUCAUCGAAUCUUUGAACGCACAUUGCGCCCGCCAGUAUUCUGGCGGGCAUGCCUGUUCGAGCGUCAUUUCAACCCUCAAGCCCUCGGGUUUGGUGUUGGGGAUCGGCGAGCCUUAUGGCAAGCCGGCCCCGAAAUACAGUGGCGGUCUCGCUGCAGCUUCCAUUGCGUAGUAGUAAAACCCUCGCAACUGGUACGCGGCGCGGCCAAGCCGUUAAACCCCCAACUUCUGAAUGUUGACCUCGGAUCAGGUAGGAAUACCCGCUGAACUUAAGCAUAUCAAUAAGCGGAGA